rnacentral:rRNA from 1 species
UCGUCUCUUGAACCCAAUCAUAGGAGAUAAUGCCUGCCCAGUGAAUAGUUUAAACGGCCGCGUUAGCGUGAGCGUGCUAAGGUAGCGUAAUAAAUAGCCUCUCAAUUGGAGGCCAGUGAAUGGCAAGACUAGGAACACCUAUACCCUUUAUACCAGAAAAACUUUUCAUCUAAGUGAAAAGACUUAGAUAAUUAAGGAAGACGAAAAGACCCCGCGGAACUUUACUUUUUCUUACACUUCUGCCCAGAGCAAGAAAAAUAAAAAGUUUGAUUGGGGCAAUCUCGGAACCAUCAAGCUUCCGAUUCUCAUAAUAAAAGAUCUAAAACUAGAUAAGGACAGAAAAGAAGUUACCCCGGGGAUAACAGCGUUAUCCAACUUAAGAGUACACAUCGAAAGUUGGGUUUGCGACCUCGAUGUUGGCUUAAGGAUAUCCACAUUAGUGCAACCGCUAUGAAAGGAUAGUCUGUUCGACUAUUACACCCUUA